rnacentral:rRNA from 1 species
UACGUAGGUGACAAGCGUUGUCCGGAUUUACUGGGCGUAAAGAGCGCGCAGGCGGUCGUUCAAGUCGAGUGUGAAAGCCCCCGGCUCAACUGGGGAGGGUCAUUCGAUACUGAUCGACUCGAAGGCAGGAGAGGGAAGUGGAAUUCCCGGUGUAGUGGUGAAAUGCGUAGAUAUCGGGAGGACCACCGGUGGCGAAGGCGGCGACCUGGGUAGAUACUGACGCUGAGGUGCGAAAGCGUGGGGAGCAAACAGG